rnacentral:rRNA from 1 species
GAUAAACGCUGGCGGCGUGCUUUACGCAUGCAUGUCGAACGAAGCACCCUCUUCGGAGGGUGACUGAGUGGCAAAUGGGUGAGUAACGCGUAGGUGACCUGCGCCGAGGUGGGGGACAACUCGCCGAAAGGCGAGCCAAUACCGCAUACGUCCACCGGAUCAGCCCGGUGGAGAAAGCUCCGGCGCCUUGGCAGGGACCUGCGUCCGAUUAGCUAGUUGGUGGGGUAACGGCCUACCAAGGCGACCAUCGGUAGCUGGUCUGAGAGGAUGAUCAGCCACACUGGGACUGAGACACGGCCCAGACUCCUACGGGAGGCAGCAGCGAGGAAUCUUGCGCAAUGGGCGAAAGCCUGACGCAGCAACGCCGCGUGGGCGAUGAAGGCCUUCGGGUUGUAAAGCCCUUUUGGCGGGGACGAAGUUCUGACGGUACCCGUCGAAGAAGCCACGGCUAACUACGUGCCAGCAGCCGCGGUAAUACGUAGGUGGCAAGCGUUAUCCGGAUUUACUGGGCGUAAAGCGCGCGCGGGCGGUUCGGUCAGUCUGUCGUGAAAUCUCCCGGCUUAACCGGGAGGGGUCGGUGGAUACUGCCGGACUUGAGGGGCGUAGAGGCAAGCGGAAUUCCCGGUGUAGUGGUGAAAUGCGUAGAUAUCGGGAGGAACACCCGUGGCGAAAGCGGCUUGCUGGGCGCCACCUGACGCUGAGGCGCGAAGGCGUGGGGAGCGAACCGGAUUAGAUGCCCGGGUAGUCCACGCGGUAAACGAUGGAUGCUAGACGUCGGGGGUAUCGACCCCCUCGGUGUCGCAGCUAACGCAUUAAGCAUCCCGCCUGGGGAGUACGGCCGCAAGGCUAAAACUCAAAGGAAUUGACGGGGGCCCGCACAAGCAGCGGAGCGUGUGGUUCAAUUCGAUGCAACGCGAAGAACCUUACCUGGGCUUGAUAUGCCGGGGACAGCGCCGGAAACGGCGUCUCCCUUCGGGGUCCCGGCACAGGUGCUGCACGGCUGUCGUCAGCUCGUGCCGUGAGGUGUUGGGUUAAGUCCCGCAACGAGCGCAACCCUUGUCGCUAGUUGUACUUUUCUAGCGAGACCGCUGCGAACAACGCAGAGGAAGGCGGGGAUGACGUCAAGUCAGCGUGGCCCUUACGUCCAGGGCGACACACACGCUACAAUGGCCGGUACAACGGGCUGCCACGCCGCGAGGCGGAGCCAAUCCUUCAAAACCGGCCCCAGUUCAGAUUGCAGGCUGAAACCCGCCUGCAUGAAGUCGGAGUUGCUAGUAAACGCAGGUCAGCCAUACUGCGUUGAAUACGUUCUCGGGCCUUGUACACACCGCCCGUCACAUCAUGGGAGUGGGUAACACCUGAAGUCGUCGCGCCAACCGCAAGGAGGCAGACGCCGAAGGUGGGACUCGCGACUGGGAUG